rnacentral:rRNA from 1 species
CUUGUCUCAAAGAUUAAGCCAUGCAUGUAUAAGUAUAAACGACUUGAUCGUGAAACCGCGAACGGCUCAUUAUAACAGCUAUAAUUUACUUGAUCUUGACAACCUACUUGGAUAACUGUGGUAAUUCUAGAGCUAAUACAUGCACCAAAGCUCCGACCGUAAGGGAAGAGCGCAUUUAUUAGAACAAAACCAAGCGGCUUCGGCCGUCCAAUGUUGACUCAGAAUAACUAAGCUGAUCGCAUGGUCUUGUACCGGCGACGUGUCUUUCAAGUAUCUGCCUUAUCAACUUUCGAUGGUAGUGUAUCUGACUACCAUGGUGAUGACGGGUAACGGAGGAUAAGGGUUCGACUCCGGAGAAGGGGCCUGAGAAAUGGCCACUACGUCUAAGGAUGGCAGCAGGCGCGCAAAUUACCCACUCUCAGAACGAGGAGGUAGUGACGAGAAAUAACGAGACCGUUCUCUUAAGAGGCCGAUCAUCGGAAUGGGUACAAUUUAAACCCUUUAACGAGUAUCUAUGAGAGGGCAAGUCUGGUGCCAGCAGCCGCGGUAAUUCCAGCUCUCAAAAUGCAUAGAAUUAUUGCUGCGGUUAAAAAGCUCGUAGUUGGACCUGUGCUGGCCUCCCGGUCCACCUUCGGGUGUGCACUGGUGAGGUUGGCUUUCCUGCCCAUUUUUCGGUCAGUGCCUUUAACCGGGUGCUGGUCGUAGUGGGCAAGUUUACUUUGAACAAAUCAGAGUGCUCAAAACAGGCGUUUCGCUUGAAUGUUCGUGCAUGGAAUAAUAGAAGAGGAUUUCGGUUCUAUUUUAUUGGUUUUAUAGACUGAGAUAAUGGUUAACAGAGACAAACGGGGGCAUUCGUAUUGCUACGUGAGAGGUGAAAUUCUUGGACCGUAGCAAGACGAACUACAGCGAAAGCAUUUGCCAAGAAUGUCUUCAUUAAUCAAGAACGAAAGUCAGAGGUUCGAAGGCGAUCAGAUACCGCCCAAG